AAUGGGAUGAGAACUCUCGAAAUCAGUAAACUCUCUUAAUGAUCGACAUAGCUUAUUGCCGCAUUGAUGUCCAAAACCCUCUUGAGAGAGAAACAGAGAGAGAAAGGUCAUCUUGAGGUGUGAGCGACUUGUGGGUCUUUCUCUCGAAUGGAUCGGUUCGUCAGUGCCCAGGCUCCUUGUCUCUCGGUAGGAGGGCCUCCCUCUCAAGUGGGCUUCUAGUUUCCGGCAAACUAAUUGCUCAGGCGGUGGUAAGUUUUUGAAGCUAGCGGGAGUGACUGGAAGUGCUACUGCUCUUAGCAAAGUCUUGGGAUUAGUUCGUGAGCUUGUUCUUGCUGCUGUAUUUGGUGUUGGUCCUGUCGUAGAUGCGUUCGGGUAUGCAUCGAGUUCAUGGUGCUCUUCGCUAAGUUCGAAAGUUUGUAGAUAUGCGUCCAUUGUACCAGGAUUUUUUCUGAUAAUCCUUGGAGGAAUCAAUGGACCAAUCCACAUAGCAAUGGUAUCGGCCUUAAGAUACCUUUGAGCCUUGGCAUUCUCAUGUACACAUUAGCGGCUUUUCUUAUUGAUGCAAUCACAACAGGAUUGUUAUUGAAAACAAGCAGUGGAUUGAUCACGAGAAGCAUGGCUAUACUUCAGCUGAGAAUCAUGGCGCCUUGUGUAACACUGGCGUGCUUGAUGGGAAUCGGCUGUGGAAGUUUUGACCGAGCUUUCACGUCCAGUUUGUAGCCAAACUUUGGAAUGGGUUUCGUG